UGGGGAAUUUUGGACAAUGGGGGAAACCCUGAUCCAGCCAUCCCGCGUGUGCGAUGAAGGCCUUCGGGUUGUAAAGCACUUUUGGCAGGAAAGAAACGUCAUGGGUUAAUACCCCGUGAAACUGACGGUACCUGCAGAAUAAGCACCGGCUAACUACGUGCCAGCAGCCGCGGUAAUACGUAGGGUGCAAGCGUUAAUCGGAAUUACUGGGCGUAAAGCGUGCGCAGGCGGUUCGGAAAGAAAGAUGUGAAAUCCCAGAGCUCAACGUUGGAACUGCAUUUUUAACUACCGGGCUAGAGUGUGGCAGAGGGAGGUGGAAUUCCGCGUGUAGCAGUGAAAUGCGUAGAUAUGCGGAGGAACACCGAUGGCGAAGGCAGCCUCCUGGGAUAACACUGACGCUCAGGCACGAAAGCGUGGGGAGCAAACAGG
rnacentral:rRNA from 1 species